GGCGCGGUAGCCAAGUGGUAAGGCAGCGGUCUGCAAAACCGCUAUUCGCCGGUUCGAUUCCGGCUCGCGCCU
rnacentral:tRNA from 1 species